GCCGACUAACUUAUACUCUUCACAUACUUUUUGUUUCAGGGAUUAUUAAAGGUUAUUUUUGGUUAAGCGGCUUUUGAAUCUCAAAGUGGUAUUGAUGCAAAAUUGGCAAUGGUGAAGUUUAGACCGUGAGUGAGUGAGGCGCCAACGCAACAUCCUUGAGGGAUUUAUAAUAUGGAUAAGUAUCCAGGAUUGCGAUUGCCAGUCUUGAUUCUGUGAAAUGGUUGGAAAUAAGAGAAAUAUUAGAAAUUAUUUACAUUUUUAUAAUGGAAUUCAUUCCAUUCUUACCUGGAAUGGACCAAUAGAGGAUCCUUUUUGUAGAGCCUCAAUUCGCCAUGCAUAUGGGAAUUAGAUUAAUACAAAUCCUCAAUAUGAUUGUAAGUUGCUUCGGUGACGUUCAGAUACUCGUCCAAAUUGACUGGCACCACGGGCACACUAGGUAACAACGAGAGAACGUAGGCCAUAGCCGAAUUAUCUUGAUUGGAGCUCAAAUAGACUUCACCAAACAAAGGCACACAUCUCGAGACACCACGGUGCACCGUUAAGAAGGCAUCACAGAAUUGAUAUUGUUGUUCAGACAAAUUCCUUGGACGCCAACAUAACUGCCCUCAACUAGAUCCCAAGCACACUUAUAGCUCUUGAUCUUGAGCCAAGUUGUGGGCGCACUCGUUAGAUUACUCUUCCAAACAAAUAGUUGGAAUCCUUUGUUACGACAUUGGGAGUAGCAACAAGUUCCUUGAAAGUUCCUGUAGAAAACAGAAAACUUGUCAUUUGGACCCUUGCCACCAUCAGCUCGUCGGCUCCAUCGUUUAGUGCCACAUUCUUCCUCUACUGCAUUAUAUCGACAACAUCAACCAAUUGCUACCAAUUGCUUACGUCAUUGAUAUUACGCUUAUAUGAUAAUGUGACUUUGAUUCUUGGGCUGCUGAUAAAAAGAUAAAUGAAAACUUUAAUAUUUAUCAUUUGUGCUUUCCAGAUCGGAUAUAUAUCAAGCAACUUGUAAAUACGUACCUUGGGGACUGGUGGGAUAUUAUUUAAUAGUCAGCAUUAUUGCUGCUAUUUUUUGGGCCGGAAGGCGACAGACGGAAACCCACGAAUCUCUUAUUCGGAACCCUGGCCCUGGGUUCGAGAUGUAAUACAUCUGGUAUAUUUUGACUAACACUGAGUCUACAGUGGCCAUUUGUUAAAUUACUUCAUAAAGGAAUCCGAUAUCUCCUGUGAAAACAAUGUUCUUUUGCUGGUGGACACGGUAUUCAAAAGACAGGAAUACCGAAAUCAGCUUAACGAAAUACAGCAAAGAUGCAAAUCCAUUAAUUACGACACGCUGGCUCUCUUCUGGGCCUUCAUAAGCAGUAUUAAGGAGACUCUAAAGAACAUUUUCCAAGUCAUUGAUAAGGAUGAGUUCGUUUUGACAAAACUUAACAGCGACCGGAUGGAGCAAAAGGGGAAGUCGUUUGUGAGUCAUAUGCCGGUCAUGCCCCUAAAGAUGUGUGCCGAGGGUGGUGGAUUGCUGAGUUUUAUGGUUUAUGACGCAGCAAGUGAUCUUUAAAUAAAAUUAAAAAUUAUGUACCCAUGA